CCUACGGGGGGCAGCAGUGGGGAAUAUUGGGCAAUGGGCGCAAGCCUGACCCAGCAACGCCGCGUGAAGGAAGAAGGCUUUCGGGUUGUAAACUUCUUUUCUCAGGGACGAAGCAAGUGACGGUACCUGAGGAAUAAGCCACGGCUAACUACGUGCCAGCAGCCGCGGUAAUACGUAGGUGGCAAGCGUUAUCCGGAUUUACUGGGUGUAAAGGGCGUGUAGGCGGGAAAGCAAGUCAGAGGUGAAAACCACGGGCUCAACCUGUGGCCUGCAUUUGAAACUGGUUUGCUUGAGUACUGGAGAGGCAGACAGAAUUCCUAGUGUAGCGGUGAAAUGCGUAGAGAUUAGGAGGAACACCAGUGGCGAAGGCGGUCUGCUGGACAGCAACUGACGCUGAGGCGCGAAAGCGUGGGGAGCAAACAGGAUUAGAUACCCUUGUAGUC
rnacentral:rRNA from 1 species